rnacentral:misc_RNA from 1 species
UUGAGUGAUAAUGGCUUGAGGCUGUUGCUGGCCCUUAUUGAAAGGGACAUGUGCACGUCUUUUGCUAUUGAUAUUCUUUCCACCUGUGCACAAAUUGUAGAUAAUCUGGGAUUGAGAGACUUUCACCGGACUCUUGUUCAAUCUAGCUUGUCUAUGCCAUUUUUAAUAUAUUAUUAUACACCUUUGCAUGUCUUAAAGAAUGUAACUUGUACUGGCUUUUAUUUUAAAAGCCUUUAAACAAAUAUA